rnacentral:rRNA from 1 species
GACGUAGGAGGCGAGCGUUGUCCGGAUUCAUUGGGCGUAAAGAGCACGCAGGCGGUUUGGCAAGUCGGAUGUGAAAACCCGAAGCUCAACUUCGGGCCUGCAUCCGAAACUGCCCGACUAGAGGUAGGUGAGGGGAGAUCGAAUUCCUGGUGUAGCGGUGAAAUGCGCAGAUAUCAGGAGGAACACCGGUGGCGAAGGCGGAUCUCUGGGCCUUACCUGACGCUCAGGUGCGAAAAGCUAGGGGGAGCGAACAGG